AUACAUAUACAUAUACAUACACACACACAUAUAUAUAUAUAUAUGUGUGUGUGUGUGUGUGUGUAUAUAUAUGUGUGU